CCCGCCAAUUCCUUUAAGUGUCUGGUUGAUCCUGCCGGAGGUCACCGCUCUUGGAAUCCGACUAAGCCAUGCGAGUCGAGAGGGUUCGGCCCUCGGCGUACUGCUCAGUAACACGUGGAUAACCUACCCUGGGAUGGGGGAUAAUCUCGGAAAACUGAGGAUAAUACCCCAUAGGUCUGGGAGGCUGGAAUGCGCCCAGACUAAAAACUCCGGUGUCCCAGGAUGGGUCUGCGGCCUAUCAGGUUGUAGUGGGUGUAAAGGACCCACUAGCCGACGACGGGUACGGGCCAUGGGAGUGGUAGCCCGGAGAUGGAUUCUGAGACACGAAUCCAGGCCCUACGGGGCGCAGCAGGCGCGAAAACUUCGCAAUGCGCGAAAGCGCGACGAGGGGAUUCCAAGUGCAUGCACUCAGUGCAUGCUGUUUUCCAGUGUAAACAGCUGGGAGAGUAAGGGCUGGGUAAGACUGGUGCCAGCCGCCGCGGUAAUACCAGCGGCCCUAGUGGUGAUCGUUAUUAUUGGGCCUAAAGCGUCCGUAGCCGGCUCGGUAAAUCUCUGGGUAAAUCGAUAGGCUUAACUUAUCGAAUUCUGGGGAGACUGCCGGGCUUGGGACCGGGAGAGGUCGGAGGUACUCCAGGGGUAGGGGUGAAAUCCUGUAAUCCUUGGGGGACCACCGGUGGCGAAGGCGUCCGACCAGAACGGGUCCGACGGUAAGGGACGAAGCCCUGGGGCGCAAACCG
rnacentral:rRNA from 1 species